rnacentral:rRNA from 1 species
AACGAACGCUGGCGGCGCGCUUAACACAUGCAAGUCGUGCGAGAAAGGGCUUCGGCCCCGGUACAGCGGCGCACGGGUGAGUAACACGUAGGUAAUUUACCCCCAGGUGGUGGAUAACCUUCCGAAAGGAGGGCUAAUACAGCAUAAGACCACGGCUUCGAAAGGAGCUGAGGUCAAAGCCGGCCUCUUCACGAAAGCUGGCGCCAGGGGAUGAGCCUGCGGCCCAUCAGCUAGUUGGUAGGGUAACGGCCUACCAAGGCGAAGACGGGUAGCUGGUCUGAGAGGAUGAUCAGCCACACUGGAACUGAGACACGGUCCAGACUCCUACGGGAGGCAGCAGUGGGGAAUCUUGCGCAAUGGGCGAAAGCCUGACGCAGCGACGCCGCGUGAGUGAUGAAGGCCCUCGGGUUGUAAAGCUCUGUGGAGGGGGACGAAUAAGGGCUGGCUAAUAUCCAGCCUGAUGACGGUACCCCUUUAGCAAGCACCGGCUAACUCUGUGCCAGCCGCCGCAGUAAAAC